UCUGCCGCUGGCACACUCUCAGAGCUAGUUUAUACAAUCAGAAGAAUCAAGCAGGAAAGGACUUCUCUCUACACUGGACUGCUUCAAAUGGCAGGAUGGGAUCUCCCCCCACCCAUAGAAGGCAGCAUUUAAACAUGUAACUCAUCACUUGUACAAUCCAGGAAAAGCUUUCCCGUUGGAUUCUGCCAGUUGUGUAAAACAAGAAGGAAAGAGAUACCAAGACAGAGAUUUCCUAUAUACAAAACCAAGUGGAAGGAUUAAAACAUCUCUCCCUUCCCUCCGUGGCACUGAGGCAAACUGAGGCUGAAGAAGCAUACAGGGGAAGAGGCUACGGCUCAGUAGAAGAGCCUUUGUUUGGCAUGCAGAAGGUCCCAGGUUCAAUCCCUGGCAUCUCCAAGUGAAAAGAGCCAGAUGGAGACAGGAAAAGUUGCCAAGGUCAUGAUGAAGGAAAUGAUGACCAGCAGCCAGCCACAUACUCCCAGGCCAUGAUCA